rnacentral:rRNA from 1 species
GAUGAACGCUAGCGGCAGGCUUAAUACAUGCAAGUCGUGGGGCAGCAGGUUUGUAGCAAUACAGAUGCUGGCGACCGGCAAACGGGUGCGGAACACGUACAGAACCUUCCUUUGAGCGGGGAAUAGCCCAGAGAAAUUUGGAUUAAUACCCCAUAGUAUAAUGAAGUGGCAUCACUUUAUUAUUAAAGAUUUAUCACUCGAAGAUGGCUGUGCGGCUGAUUAGGUAGUUGGCGGGUAAAGGCCCACCAAGCCUGCGAUCAGUAACUGGUGUGAGAGCACGACCAGUCACACGGGCACUGAGACACGGGCCCGACUCCUACGGGAGGCAGCAGUAAGGAAUAUUGGUCAAUGGAGGCAACUCUGAACCAGCCAUGCCGCGUGGAGGAUGAAGGUCCUCUGGAUUGUAAACUUCUUUUAUUAUGGGUACGAAAAAAGGCUUUUCUAAGUCGUCUGACGGUACCAUAUGAAUAAGCACCGGACUAACUACCGUGCCAGCAGCCGCGUAA